GAUGAACGCUGGCGGCGUGCCUAAUACAUGCAAGUCGAACGUGCGGAAGAUUUCGGUCUUCCAAAAGUGGCGCACGGGUGAGUAACGCGUAGCUGACCUGCCCUUCGCAGGGGGAUAACUCGCCGAAAGGCGUGCUAAUACCGCGUACGUUCCGGGGAUUUAGAAGCCUCGGAAGAAAGCGUUUGUAGCGGCGAAGGAGGGGCUGCGUACCAUCAGCUCGUUGGCGGGGUAAUGGCCCACCAAGUCUGCGAUCAGUAACUGGUGUGAGAGCACGACCAGUCACACGGGCACUGAGACACGGGCCCGACUCCUACGGGAGGCAGCAGUAAGGAAUAUUGGUCAAUGGACGCAAGUCUGAACCAGCCAUGCCGCGUGGAGGAUGAAGGCCCUCUGGGUUGUAAAACUUCUUUUAUUUGGGACGAAAAAAGGAUCUUUCCAGAUCAACUGACGGUACCAGAUGAAUAAGCACCGGCUAACUCCGUGCC
rnacentral:rRNA from 1 species